UACGUAGGGUGCGAGCGUUGUCCGGAAUUAUUGGGCGUAAAGAGCUUGUAGGUGGUUUGUCGCGUCUGCUGUGAAAAUCCGAGGCUCAACCUCGGACUUGCAGUGGGUACGGGCAGACUAGAGUGUGGUAGGGGGAGACUGGAAUUCCUGGUGUAGCGGUGGAAUGCGCAGAUAUCAGGAGGAACACCGAUGGCGAAGGCAGGUCUCUGGGCCAUUACUGACACUGAGAAGCGAAAGCCAUGGGGAGCGAACAGG
rnacentral:rRNA from 1 species